rnacentral:rRNA from 1 species
CACGCUGUAAACGAUGAGUGCUAGGUGUUGGGUAGCGAUAUUCAGUGCCGAAGUUAACACAAUAAGCACUCCGCCUGGGGAGUACGGUCGCAAGACUGAAACUCAAAGGAAUUGACGGGGACCCGCACAAGCAGCGGAGCAUGUGGUUUAAUUCGAAGCAACGCGAAGAACCUUACCAAGGUUUGACAUCCCCUUGACAGAUGCAGAGAUGUGUCCUCUCCUUCGGGAGCAAGGGAGACAGGUGG